rnacentral:lncRNA from 1 species
CCAAGUAAUCAUGCUCAAGGAAGACAAUUCACGUCGGCUGCCAAAAAACUCUCUUGUAGUUAGGUAUGCUCACGCCAGGUGUUCACGCUUAAGAAUUUUAAUUUCGAACGGUUGGUCAGAAGAUUCGAAGGCAGUUAGGCGUACCCACGCCUAACAUAGGGGUUCCUUUAUAAAAAAAAAACUCAUGGUUCUUCUUCUUUUUUCUCUUUUUCUUUCCUU